ACUGAACGCCUCUAAGUCAGAAUCCGGGCUAGAAGCGACGCACGCGCCCGUCGCCCGAUUGCCGACCCGCAGUACGGGCCUUUGGCCCCCAAGGGCACGUGUCGUAGGUGCAGCGACUGCGGCGGACAAGUCACGGGUGCCUCCUUGGAGCGUAAUUCCCACCGAGCAGCGGGUAGAAUCCUUUGCAGAUGACUUAAAUACGCGACGGGGUAUUGUAAGUGGCAGAGUGGCAUUGCUCCCACGAUCCACUGAGAUUCAGCCCUUUGUCGCUUCGAUUCGU
rnacentral:ncRNA from 1 species